AAUGUAAGUGCAGUUAUAAUGUCCAAUAUACGCCAUACUUCUUCCUUUUGCGAGUUGGCGAAGUAACCAUUACGCGUCCAUAAGGCAGCACGCGCACCU
rnacentral:lncRNA from 1 species